CAGUCGCCGCGGUAAUACAGAGGGUGCAAGCGUUAAUCGGAUUUACUGGGCGUAAAGGGCGCGUAGGUGGUUAUGUAAGUGAGAUGUGAAAUCCCCGGGCUCAACCUGGGAACUGCAUCUUAUACUGCGUAGCUGGAGUGCAGUAGAGGGUAGUGGAAUUUCCGGUGUAGCGGUGAAAUGCGUAGAUAUCGGAAGGAACACCAGUGGCGAAGGCAGCUACCUGGACUGACACUGACACUGAGGCGCGAAAGCGUGGGGAGAAAACAGGAUUAGAUACCCCUGUAGUCCCUGUCUCUUAUAC
rnacentral:rRNA from 1 species